AUUAUUUUCUCAAUGGUAGGCUUUUGGAUAUUAUUUCAACCAUAAAGAAAGGAUCCAUCGUCUGGCAAGAGGUUUUUGAUGACAAUGUGAAGCUUCAGCAAGGCACUAUCAUUCAAGUAUGGAAACAGGACAAGUAUGUUAAUGAACUAGAGGUAAUCACAAAAGCUGGCUUCCCUGUGAUCCUUUCUGCUCCGUGGUACUUAGACUAUAUCAGUUAUGGACAAGAUUGGAUGAAAUACUAUAAAGUGGAACCUCUUGAUUUUAGAGGUUCUCAGCAGCAGAAACAACUUGUCCUUGGUGGAGAAGCUUGUCUGUGGGGGAGAAUAUGUGGAUGCAACUAACCUCACUCCGAGACUAUGGCCUCGGGCAAGUGCUGUUGCUGAGAGACUCUGGAGCCAGAAAGAGAUCAGAAAUCUAGACGAUGCCUACAGAAGACUAACAGCUCACCGCUGCAGAAUGGUCAGACGCGGCAUAGCUGCGGAGCCUCUUUACAUCGGAUACUGUGGCACCUGAGCUGGACCAGAAGGGGAAAGCCCUCAGCAACGCACUGCCGUGGACUCGGUUUGAAAUCAUGUAAAUUAAGAUUUGGUAUAUUGUUUUUGAAUAAAAUAUAUUUGAAUUGAUUGAA